rnacentral:rRNA from 1 species
AAGACCUUACGCUUUUGGAGCGGCCGAUGUCUGAUUAGCUUGUUGGUGAGGUAAAGGCUUACCAAGGCUUCGAUCAGUAGCUGGUCUGAGAGGACGACCAGCCACACUGGGACUGAGACACGGCCCAGACUCCUACGGGAGGCAGCAGUGGGGAAUUUUGGACAAUGGGGGAAACCCUGAUCCAGCCAUGCCGCGUGAGUGAAGAAGGCCUUCGGGUUGUAAAGCUCUUUCAGCCGGAACGAAACGGUUACGAUUAAUACCUGUAACUACUGACGGUACCGGAAGAAGAAGCACCGGCUAACUACGUGCCAGCAGCCGCGGUAAUACGUAGGGUGCGAGCGUUAAUCGGAAUUACUGGGCGUAAAGCGUGCGCAGGUGGUUUUGUAAGUCAGAUGUGAAMUCCCCGGGCUUAACCUGGGAACU